UUUUCUAAUAGUUUAAAAUUUACUGUAAGUGUUAACACUUUUUACAUUUCAAAAUUAUGUGCUUUUAAUCACUUUACAGAGAACAUUUAGGUGGCAUUAUAAUCAAAAUUACAAUGUCAAGUGAAGGUAAUGUGUUACUGAUUAAAAAUAAUUUAUUUAAGAAUAUUCAGAAUAUAAAUAUAAGACAAAAGAAGAAAACUUAAAAUACCCAUAACAUUCUCCACAACAUAACCAUUCUGAACACAUUGAUAUAAACCUUUCCAGGUGCCAGUGGGUUCUUGAUCCGAAUUUAUUUACAUAACUUCAAUAUAUUGCAGUGGGGGCUUUUCAAAUAGGAAAAUUAAAGCUACAAAUGUUAUUUGAAGUCUUUGUUUUUAUAUGAUUUUGGUUAAAUAGGUGCAGAGUCUCUGAUGACAUUACCAACUCUUAACACACUGAAUAUGCUUAAUAAAUUGCAAAGCACAUAGAUAGAAAUGCUAUAUAUGUGUAAAUAUAUGUUCCUUGACAUGAAAAAGAGAAAAAAGGAUUCAUUGAAGAUAGUAUUUCAAUUAAGGCAUUAGAGUAUUUCACGUAGGUCUAACCUGAAUAUGAAAGAAACCCACAUCAAUACUAUUCAUCAAAUAACAACUAACUAAUUGAGCACUCACUAUGUCUGUAUACUAUUUAUCUUUUGCAUGAGAUGAUUGCCAUUAUCCUAAUUCUAUAGGAGAGAAAUGUGAGAUACAGAGAUAAUAAAAACAUUUAGGGACAAGAGAAUAUAAAUGAUAGAGCUAGAAGUUGGCCACAUAUAUCCAAUGUAAGAGUUUACUUUCUUAACCAUUCUGCAUUACUGAUUCAUAAUUGUAGAUGGCGAUUCUAGGUGCUGUUAAUAAUAAUGGUAGAUUCAUUCCACCCCAUCUCAUGAACUCUGAGAGAAAUUCUGGACAGUCUGGAGUUAUCUAUAUUCAGUAAGAGAUCCCUAAAUGGAAUUAACUUGACUGCUGCAAAUGGAACACUAUAAGAAUUCAUGGAGUGACUAUUGUGCAAGAGCCCCUGAGGACUGGCUGCUGUGAAGUUUGACACAGUUCUAAUUUGGUUUCCUUUCAAAAGAGAUCUCCUCAGUGCUUGUCUUAAUGACAAUUGUAAGGGAAGAGCCUUCCAAUAGCAAGACUUGAUUAUCACAUGGAGAAAAGUGGCUUGAAGUAUGAGUAUACACAGGCUCCCCAGCAGGAGGGAGUGGCUUUUGCUGAUUGAUCAAGGUUCUAGAAGGUACAAUAUUUGAAGACUAGGGACAAAAAUCUCUCAAGAAAAUGUAUAUGGGCACAUCUAUGAGAAAAGCCAGAGAGCGCGUGACUAUUAAUGAGUCUAUGCCACAGAAGAAAUUUUAAAAAUAUUUUAGAUUAAUAGAAUGACUCAUCCUAUGGACAUAAGUCUAUUUCCUUUCAGUCAUCUAUUUCUGUUCAGUGCUGAUUCAGUGAACAGAGCAACCCUGGAGACAAAGGUAGAAAAUUUAUAUGAACCACCAUGAUUAGUUCUCUUUAAACUCAGAUCCCUGAUGAGUUAAUCACACCUCCGAAUGACCAACUAUGUGCCUUAGAGACUAAUGCUGAACAAUUUAUAUGGCAUCAUUCCUAAAUACACAAUCAUUUCUUUGGUGGCAAUUAAAUGAUAUUGGACCAUUUCUUAGAGGGAAUGGGUCAUACUUGAAUUACCUCUUACCAUGGAUAUGGGCUUGUCUUUCCUGUCCACAGUGCAACUGCUAGCAUUACUAACAGCACAACUAAUCAUGAGUUUACAUCAUAGCUGAUCUAUUAAAAUCAUAUUCCACAUAAUAUUCCUGCAAAGGAUUGCACACAUUUAUAAAAAGUGAGGAGCCAUAAUGGGUGUACAGCCAUGGAAUACACCAGUCUUAUACAACCUAUUAAUCAGAAGCAGUUGACCAAUGGUAUGGUUUGCUAAAGGCUCAGACAGUGCAUCAGAUUAGGGAUUAUACUCUCCAGAUUACAGCACUGCUUUUCAGGAUGCAGCAUAUGCAUUGGAGUAUCAGCUGAUACAUGGUAUUUUGUGCUCUAUAGAUUGAAUGUGUGGACCAAGAGGUGGAAGUAGGAUUGCCUCUACUACUUUUACUUCUAGUGAACCAAACAUACAAUUUGUUUUCAGUUACCUAAUUUCAGUUACCUUAGGCUCUGCUUGUUUACAAGUGAUGGUUUUCAGCAGAAACAACUCAGCUAAAAGACAGAGUAAGGGCUCCACUGAACUUGAAGUCGUAACUGCUCCCUGGCCUUUCGGGACUCUUCGUGUUACUGGUACUAACUGUACUAGCAGGAGGAAGAAGUAAUUACUUCUAGUCAUCAUCAGGAAGCAAGUUUACUUCUAUGAAACGGGAGUAGGGUAGGUUAUGCCUCGAAUACAACAAAUUCAUUGGGAAAUGGCUUGGUCUUUCUGUGCCCAGUGAUUAAAUAGCCCAAGAGGACAGCAAAGUAAGGAUACAAAUCCUUGGGGGUAGCCUUCUAGUUCUAGGUCACACCAGUAGGCAAACAAGCAAUUCAGGUCAGCUGUGGUGCUGGUCUAAGAUGAGGGAAAUACAGAGUCAUAAUAGAGAAGGAAAAUUAUGAAUAUCAAUUACAAUAUUUGGACAAGUUGCAGCAACAGAGAUUAUUUUGUUUUACCUUACCUCUCUGUCCAGCUGUCACUAUGGUGACAACACACGUUCCCUCUGCUGGAAUGCAUUUUCUUCUUAAUGUUCAUUCUCACACACCAUUCAAGUCUGUUCAAAUGUUACCCUCUUAAUGGUGUCUUCCUGAUUAUUUUAAAUUACAUUUUUUUCCUACUCUUCAGUUUUUCUGUCCCCUCUUUUCCUGCUCUACAUCACAUUUAGCAAUUUUAAAUAAAAUUACUUACAUAAAUGUAUGCAUUAAUUACUUAUUAAUAGAUAUUUUUGUUGUUUAUCUCUCUCCUUAUAUGUAAAAUUCACAUGGUCAAGAAUUUCUGAGUUUUUUUUUUUUUCACUAUUGUACCCCUAUCAUCCAGUAGAGUUCCUGGCUCAUAGCAAAUAUUUAAUGAAUAUUUAUAAAACAGAUGAAUUAAUUCACUUUAUAUUUUGGAUGAUGACUCCUGAAUCUACAUCUUCAACCUGCACAUCCAAAUUUAUCUCUUACUCCAUGCUUUCAGGUUACAUACGGGCCAGAGGUAACAUUAUGUAUAAGCAGAGUUGGCAGGAUGUCGUAUGGCAUAAUUUUAGUGCAGAAUUGAAGACUUUUUUUUCUCAUAUGCCAAAGAAUACCCCCCUUAGCUUGAUUAUUAAUAUUUCACAUUUUUUACAGGGAAUAAUAAUAAGGUUAAAAUAUAUAUAGUAUUGGGAGAAGUAAGUAUUUAUACAAAUCUAUUCCCACUGUAUUGAAAGGGUUUAUAUUAAGUAAAAUUAAGGAUGGGAAACCUAGGAACGCUAAGUAGCAGAGGCUGCAGUGAAAGUGUAAGAAAGAAUAUUUUUAAAGUAAGGGUUAGAGAUUAAAAAGCAAAUUCUACCUUCAAACUGUUUAGCAAGCCUCUGUAGUUUUCUCAAGCUUACCGCGCUUGCCCUAAAGUGUUAUUACUUCGUGUUUAUACUACCACAUCUUUCCAUCAACUUAAUUCCUUCACACACCUUCUCAGCUUCAGUCAGUGGACUAUCAUUUUUUCAUCUUUCUGAGCUAGGAAAUUUUUUAGAUCUUCUCUCUUCUUUGUUCACCAUAUAUAAGUCAGUCAUCUAGUUUUUGUCGACUCUUAUGUCAGGAUCUUUAACAGUGAAAUCAAGACUCCACAAAGUGUAGACUACACCUGCACUGCCAUUUACUGUGUGGAGAUUAUGUUAAAAAAUGAAUUACCCCUUGCUUGACUCUAACCCCUAUGUUUCUUGCCAUUCCAUUUAUAUAGCCUCCUCCACAAAAUGUCCUUAAAAGUUGUAUCUACACUUAAUAUUCAUCUCGAAUGUCAUCUUCCACUUUGGGAAACAUCAAAGUGAUGACAUUUCUUCCUACCUUAAACUUCCUCCCUAGGUCUCUCUACUGGCAUUUUAUCUCUUGACUCCCUUGACUUACAUCAUUUUCUGUUAAUGUUAUCUGUGCACUUACUUUCCCACCAUUACACGAAGAGUGUCUAAAUCGCUGAGACUGUUCUUUAAAUCCCCAACAAUCCUCACAAGCAUUUAUUAAACAAGAAUGAAUAAUGUCACUCCAGGUAUAAUUUAUCCUCCACUUUUUUCCUGAAAGGAUCUCUGGAUCUCGUUGAUGCUGCCUCUAGGAUAAAUUUUUAUACCUCUCAUCAUGUCCUCCGAUUCACUAGCUCUCACCAAUGUGCUUCAGUUAACUAAUUCAAUCUUAUUUUCUAUGGUGCUCCUUACCCCAAUUACUUCAGUAUUCAAAUAGUUAAGUUUCUUGACAAUUAUAGAGAAAUAAUUAUGUAUGGACAGAACUUAGGACCAGAGACAGAAAUGGAAAGUGAAAACAAAGGUGUUCUCUCCACCUCUCAGAGUCUUUAUAGUCUUGUCUCUAUUUUUAUCAUUUUCUCUCUUGAUUGCCAUACUCUUGCAUUCAAGCUGAGUAUCCAACAAACAUCUAUGUAUUCUUCAAACUCCAUGCAUGCACUGUAAUUUUUAUGUUAAUUCCAUUUAUUAUUUCUAAAGGAAAUUUAAUUAGCUUGGCCCAGGACAAAUGUUGUUUUUGCAGGGACCAGAGAGGCCCUUGGUACAAUCAGCUGAGACCAGAGUGAAGAAGUGAGGGUGCAAAUACACUUCAAAACAGGAUUGUGGACAAGGAACGCAAGACAAAACACUGAAUAUUUCAUUUUUACUGAAUGUAACUAGGAAAUAAUAAUUUAUGCAGAACCAGUCAGGAUAGAAAUAUGGCUUUCAUUAGGUUUUUAAAAAUAACUGGAGACCUCAUUAUGAUUUUAUUACCAUCAUUUAACUAGAACCCCAAUCAUAGAAUCAUUGAUUUUAAUGCUCAUUUGGAUACUUUAUCAGUGUGUUUCCUUGACAAGAAGACAUCAUAAUAAAAUUACUCAUGCAAGAGAUUUCCUGGAUGAAACGCCUAUAAAGAAUAAAGGAGGAAGGAGAAGAGGUGAGAGGGAGCUUCAGAUUCCAAUGCAGGCUGAGAAACUGACAUAAAUGGAAUGCAUUCUCCACAGUUCAUGUAUUGAAAACAACCCUUAAUGCAACAGUCUCAGGAGGUAGAACCUAACAUAACAUGUUUAGGUCAGGAGGGCUCUACCAUCAUGAAUGGAUGAAUGCUGUUACGGCAGGAGUGGGUCUGUUAUAAAAGUGAGCUUGGCUCUCUCAUGCCCUCUCUCUCCUGUUCUCUGUCAUCCUGUUGCCUUCCACUACAGGAUCAUGAUAAGACGGCCCUCAUCAGAGAUGUGGUCCCUCAAUUUUGAACGUUUCAGCCUCCAGAACCGUGAGCCAAAUAAACUUCUGUUGUUUGUAAUAACCCAGUCUAUGGUAUUCUGUUAUAGCAGCUUAAAACCAACUAAGAUGGCACCUGUGAAAGGAAAGAAGAAAGGAGGAUCAGGGAAGAGCCUCAGUCUGUAGUGAUGCUCUGAGAAAGCUGUGAUCUGCCCGACGGGAAGCCCGAGAGCAAAACUUGCCUAUUAGAUGAGUUACACAUUAGGCAACAGUGGAAUGCCUGGAGUACCCCCGCCGUGCACAGCGAUUAGAUGGAAGGAGCCUGAGGAGAGCAAAGUCUCAGUGUGAAUGGCGCAUCUAACUAUACCCCUUUCAGCAGGUUUUCUCAUGAAAGGUCUGAGCAGUGCAUUCCUAUGCCUUCCUGAGCCACUGACUUGUCCUGUUCUCUGUGACAUCUUCUUCCCAACAGAAUGUAAGCACCACAAAAUAAAGCAACGUACAUCUUUGUACUGA